rnacentral:rRNA from 1 species
UACGUAGGGUGCAAGCGUUGUCCGGAUUUAUUGGGCGUAAAGAGCUCGUAGGCGGUCUGUCGCGUCGGAUGUGAAAACCCAGGGCUCAACCCUGGGCCUGCAUUCGAUACGGGCAGACUAGAGUGUGGCAGGGGAGACUGGAAUUCCUGGUGUAGCGGUGAAAUGCGCAGAUAUCAGGAGGAACACCGGUGGCGAAGGCGGGUCUCUGGGCCGAUACUGACGCUGAGGAGCGAAAGCGUGGGGAGCGAACAGG